GAUGAACGCUGGCGGCGUGCCUAAUACAUGCAAGUAGAACGCUGAAGGAGGAGCUUGCUCUUCUGGAUGAGUUGCGAACGGGUGAGUAACGCGUAGGUAACCUGCCUGGUAGCGGGGGAUAACUAUUGGAAACGAUAGCUAAUACCGCAUGACAACAGUUAUUGCAUGAUAACUGUUUAAAAGGGGCAACUGCUCCACUACCAGAUGGACCUGCGUUGUAUUAGCUAGUUGGUGAGGUAACGGCUCACCAAGGCGACGAUACAUAGCCGACCUGAGAGGGUGAUCGGCCAAACUGGGACUGAAACACGGCCCAGAAUCCUACGGGAGGCAGCAGUAGGGAAUCUUCGGCAAUGGACGGAAGUCUGACCGAGCAACGCCGCGUGAGUGAAGAAGGUUUUCGGAUCGUAAAGCUCUGUUGUAAGAGAAGAACGAGUGUGAGAGUGGAAAGUUCACACUGUGACGGUAUCUUACCAGAAAGGGACGGCUAACUACGUG
rnacentral:rRNA from 1 species